rnacentral:rRNA from 1 species
GAUAAACGCUGGCGGCGUGCAUGAGACAUGCAAGUCGAACGGACGGACCGGUUCGCCGGUCCGUUAGUGGCGGACGGCUGAGUAACGCGUAGGUGACCUGCCCCGAAGUGGGGAAUAACUGCCCGAAAGGGUGGCUAAUACCGCAUGUGGUCGCACGUUCGGUCGUGCGAGUAAAGCCGCAAGGCGCUUCGGGAGGGGCCUGCGUCCGAUUAGCUCGUUGGUGGGGUAAUGGCUCACCAAGGCGACGAUCGGUAGGUGGUCUGAGAGGACGAUCACCCAGACUGGGACUGAGACACGGCCCAGACUCCUACGGGAGGCAGCAGUCGGGAAUUUUGCUCAAUGGGCGAAAGCCUGAAGCAGCAACGCCGCGUGAGGGAUGAAGGCCUUCGGGUCGUAAACCUCUUUUGCCGAGGACGAUAAUGACGGUACUCGGUGAAUAAGCCACGGCUAACUACGUGCCAGCAGCCGCGGUAAUACGUAGGUGGCAAGCGUUGUCCGGAUUUACUGGGCGUAAAGAGCGCGCAGGCGGUCGUAUAAGUCGAAUGUGAAAGCCCCCGGCUCAACUGGGGAGGGUCAUUCGAUACUGUUCGACUCGAAGGCAGGAGAGGGAAGUGGAAUUCCGGGUGUAGUGGUGAAAUGCGUAGAUAUCCGGAGGAACACCAGUGGCGAAGGCGACUUUCUGGCCUGUUCUUGACGCUGAGGCGCGAAAGCUAGGGGAGCAAACGGGAUUAGAUACCCCGGUAGUCCUAGCCGUAAACGAUGGACACUAGGUGUUGGUGGUAUCAACCCCGCCAGUGCCGUAGCUAACGCAUUAAGUGUCCCGCCUGGGGAGUACGGCCGCAAGGCUAA